rnacentral:piRNA from 1 species
CUCUCGAGACUAGGACAGACACAAGAAC